rnacentral:rRNA from 1 species
UACAUGUGGGGCAAGCGUUGUUCGGAAUCACUGGGCAUAAAGGGUGCGUAGGCGGCUUGUUAAGUCAGGGGUGAAAUCCCACGGCCCAACCGUGGAACUGCCUUUGAUACUGAUGAGCUUGAGUGCGUGAGGGGUAACCGGAACGAGUAGUGUAGCGGUGAAAUGCGUAGAUAUUACUCGGAAGGCCAAAGGCGAAGGCAGGUUACUGGUACGCAACUGACGCUGAGGCACGAAAGCGUGGGGAGCAAACAGG